rnacentral:rRNA from 1 species
GUCCUGAUCUGUUGCCUAUAUUGCACUUGCUAGAGUAGGUGAAAAUACCCAUAACAGUUAUAAAAGGACGAGGAAACCCUAGAAAUUUUUUAUAAUAUAUAUAUUAAUAUUACUAUUUUGUUGGGGCGACAGAGUAACAUCUAAACUUACUUUAUAAUAUAUUAGAAUUUUAUAUAAUGAAAAACAAAAUUACUCUAGGGAUAACAGCAUAAUUAUUUAAUAGUUUGUGACCUCGAUGUUGGACUAAGGAAAAUUUUACUCAGAAGGUAAAAUAGUAUGUUCUGUUCGAACAAAUAACCCUUACAUGAUCUGAGUUCA